rnacentral:rRNA from 1 species
GACGAACGCUGGCGGCGUGCUUAACACAUGCAAAUCGAACGAUGAACCCGGAGCUUGCUCCGGUGGAUUAGUGGCAACGGGUGAGUAACACGUGAGUAACCUGCCCUUGACUCUGGGAUAACUGCGGGAAACUGUAGCUAAUACCGGAUACGACCCUCGGAGGCAUCUCCUGGGGGUGGAAAGAAUUUCGGUCAAGGAUGGACUCGCGGCCUAUCAGCUAGUUGGUGAGGUAAAGGCUCACCAAGGCGACGACGGGUAGCCGGCCUGAGAGGGUGACCGGCCACACUGGGACUGAGACACGGCCCAGACUCCUACGGGAGGCAGCAGUGGGGAAUAUUGCACAAUGGGCGCAAGCCUGAUGCAGCAACGCCGCGUGAGGGAUGACGGCCUUCGGGUUGUAAACCUCUUUUAGCAGGGAAGAAGCGAAAGUGACGGUACCUGCAGAAAAAGCACCGGCUAACUACGUGCCAGCCGCCGCAGUAA